UACAGAGGGUGCGAGCGUUAUUCGGAAUUACUGGGCGUAAAGCGUGCGUAGACGGUUAUUUAAGUCGGGUGUGAAAGCCCCGGGCUCAACCUGGGAAUUGCAUUCGAGACUGAAUAGCUAGGGUACGGUAGAGGGAAGUGGAAUUUCCGGUGUAGCGGUGAAAUGCGUAGAUAUCGGAAGGAACAUCAGUGGCGAAAGCGACUUCCUGGACCAGUACCGACGUUCAGGCACGAAAGCGUGGGGAGCAAACAGG
rnacentral:rRNA from 1 species